rnacentral:misc_RNA from 1 species
AAGGAUCAUUAGUUCGCACAUAAGGCCCGAUAUGGUUUUGCCAUAUCGUCGUUUGGGGUGCCACCUUGCCGGCGUACAAAGUACGCCCGCUUGUCUACGCUUGACGUAGUGAGCUGUGGGCCUGCCUGCAUUCUUGUCUUUACGUCCUUGUUGCUUUGGCGGGUGUUCUUCAUCGGACCGCCGGGGGCCCAGCUCCCAGCGUCUGCCCGCCGACAGCCCUCUAUAAACCCUGUCAACCUGUCUGUCUUAGUCCAAAAAAUAACUAUAAAACUUUCAACAACGGAUCUCUUGGUUCUG